rnacentral:rRNA from 1 species
UACGGAGGGUGCAAGCGUUAUCCGGAAUCACUGGGUUUAAAGGGUGCGCAGGCGGCCCGAUCAGUCAGUUGUGAAAUCCCCCGGCUUAACCGGCGGGACUGCGAUUGAUACUGUCGGGCUUGAAUCGGGUUGAGGCAGGCGGAAUGUGGCAUGUAGCGGUGAAAUGCUUAGAUAUGCCAUAGAACACCGAUUGCGAAGGCAGCUUGCUGGGCCUUGAUUGACGCUGAGGCACGAAAGCGUGGGGAGCAAA